CUACAGCCACAAUCCGUUGGAUUAGUUUAGCAUAAAGACUGCAAACAGGGGGAAACAGAUAGCCUAGCUCUGUUCAAAGAUGUAAAUAAAUCUACCUU